AAUACCGCAUAAGGCCACAUUGCCGCAUGGCACAGUGGUAAAAACUCCGGUGGUGUAAGAUGGGCCCGCGUCUGAUUAGGUAGUUGGGGGGGGGGAGGCCCACCCACCCGACUAUCAAUAGCCGGCCUGAGAGGGUGGACGGCCACUUUGGCACUGACACACGGCCCAAACUCCUACGGCAGGUACGGGGGGGAAAUAUUGCACAAUGGGGAAAACCCUGAUGCCCCGACGCCGCGUGAGCAAGGAAUUAUUUCGGUAUGUAAAGCUCUGUCAGCAGGGAAUAAAAUGAAGGGGCCUGACCAACAAGCCCCGGCUAACUGCUUGCCAGCAGCCGCAGUAAUACGUAGGGGGCAUGCGUUAUCCGUAUUUAGUGGGUGUAAAGAGAGCGUACACGGAGUGACAAUCUGAUGUAAAAACCCGGGCCCCAACCCCGGCAGUGCUUUAAAAACUGUUUUUCUGGAGCGUAGGAGAGGCAGGCGGAAUUCCUAGUGUAGAGAAUAAAUGCAAAAUAUAUUAGAAAGAACACCAAUGGCGAAGGCUGCCUGCUGUAACGGGACUGACGUUGAGGCUCAGAAGCGAGGGGAGCGAAUAGAUCACGCUCCCCUGCUCGCCACGCCACGACCAUGACUACUGGUGUCGGCGCAAGGGUGUUCGAUGCCUCACCCUACGCAGUAAGCAGUCAACUGGCUAGUUCGUUCGAAGAAUGAA
rnacentral:rRNA from 1 species